rnacentral:rRNA from 1 species
AACGAACGCUGGCGGCAUGCCUAACACAUGCAAGUCGAACGAACCCUUCGGGGUUAGUGGCGCACGGGUGCGUAACGCGUGGGAAUCUGCCCUUUGCUUCGGAAUAACAGUUAGAAAUGACUGCUAAUACCGGAUAAUGUCUUCGGACCAAAGAUUUAUCGGCAAAGGAUGAGCCCGCGUAGGAUUAGCUAGUUGGUGGGGUAAAAGCUCACCAAGGCGACGAUCCUUAGCUGGUCUGAGAGGAUGAUCAGCCACACUGGGACUGAGACACGGCCCAGACUCCUACGGGAGGCAGCAGUGGGGAAUAUUGGACAAUGGGCGAAAGCCUGAUCCAGCAAUGCCGCGUGAGUGAUGAAGGCCUUAGGUUGUAAAGCUCUUUUACCAGGGAUGAUAAUGACAGUACCUGGAGAAUAAGCUCCGGCUAACUCCGUGCCAGCAGCCGCGGUAAU